rnacentral:rRNA from 1 species
UACAGAGGUCUCAAGCGUUGUUCGGAUUCAUUGGGCGUAAAGGGUGCGUAGGCGGCGCGGUAAGUCGGGUGUGAAAUCUCGGAGCUUAACUCCGAAACUGCAUUCGAUACUGCCGUGCUUGAGGACUGGAGAGGAGACGUGGAAUUUACGGUGUAGCGGUGAAAUGCGUAGAUAUCGUAAGGAAGACCAGUGGCGAAGGCGG